rnacentral:rRNA from 1 species
CUUGCUUCUCUUGAGAGCGGCGGACGGGUGAGUAAUGCCUAGGAAUCUGCCUGGUAGUGGGGGAUAACGUUCGGAAACGGACGCUAAUACCGCAUACGUCCUACGGGAGAAAGCAGGGGACCUUCGGGCCUUGCGCUAUCAGAUGAGCCUAGGUCGGAUUAGCUAGUUGGUGGGGUAAUGGCUCACCAAGGCGACGAUCCGUAACUGGUCUGAGAGGGUGAUCAGUCACACUGGAACUGAGACACGGUCCAGACUCCUACGGGAGGCAGCAGUGGGGAAUAUUGGACAAUGGGCGAAAGCCUGAUCCAGCCAUGCCGCGUGUGUGAAGAAGGUCUUCGGAUUGUAAAGCACUUUAAGUUGGGAGGAAGGGUUGUAGAUUAAUACUCUGCAAUUUUGACGUUACCGACAGAAUAAGCACCGGCUAACUCUGUGCCAGCAGCCGCGGUAAUACAGAGGGUGCAAGCGUUAAUCGGAAUUACUGGGCGUAAAGCGCGCGUAGGUGGUUUGUUAAGUUGGAUGUGAAAUCCCCGGGCUCAACCUGGGAACUGCAUUCAAAACUGACUGACUAGAGUAUGGUAGAGGGUGGUGGAAUUUCCUGUGUAGCGGUGAAAUGCGUAGAUAUAGGAAGGAACACCAGUGGCGAAGGCGACCACCUGGGCUAAUACUGACACUGAGUGCGAAAGCGUGGGGAGCAAACAGGAUUAGAUACCCUGAUAGUCCACGCCGUAACGAUGUCAACUAGCCGUUGGUAGGCCUUGAGCUUUUAGUGGCGCAGCUAACGCAUUAAGUUGACCGCCUGGGGAGUACGGCCGCAGGGUUAA